rnacentral:rRNA from 1 species
UACGAAGGGGGCGAGCGUUGUUCGGAUUUACUGGGCGUAAAGGGCGCGCAGGCGGCUUUGUUUGUCAGGCGUGAAAGCCCCGGGCUCAACCUGGGAGGUGCGCUUGAUACUCGAGGGCUUGAGUGCGGGAGAGGAGAGUGGAAUUCCCAGUGUAGAGGUGAAAUUCGUAGAUAUUGGGAAGAACACCGGUGGCGAAGGCGGCUCUCUGGACCGUAACUGACGCUGAGGCGCGAAAGCGUGGGGAGCAAACAGG